rnacentral:rRNA from 1 species
GAUGAACGCUGGCGGCGUGCCUAAUACAUGCAAGUCGAGCGAACAGACGAGGAGCUUGCUCCUCUGACGUUAGCGGCGGACGGGUGAGUAACACGUGGAUAACCUACCUAUAAGACUGGGAUAACUUCGGGAAGCCGGAGCUAAUACCGGAUAAUAUAUUGAACCGCAUGGUUCAAUAGUGAAAGACGGUUUUGCUGUCACUUAUAGAUGGAUCCGCGCCGCAUUAGCUAGUUGGUAAGGUAACGGCUUACCAAGGCGACGAUGCGUAGCCGACCUGAGAGGGUGAUCGGCCACACUGGAACUGAGACACGGUCCAGGCUCCUACGGGAGGCAGCAGUAGGGAAUCUUCCGCAAUGGGCGAAAGCCUGACGGAGCAACGCCGCGUGAGUGAUGAAGGUCUUCGGAUCGUAAAACUCUGUUAUUAGGGAAGAACAAAUGUGUAAGUAACUAUGCACGUCUUGACGGUACCUAAUCAGAAAGCCACGGCUAACUACGUG